UCUCACUCUCUCGGCCUGUCAGAUAGCUUAUCAGACUGGUGUUGGCUGUUAGAUUGCAAGGCGACAACAGUCUGUAGGCUGUCUGACAUUUUGAGCUCUUUCAUCU
rnacentral:pre_miRNA from 10 species